UUGAGGAUUUCGAGGAAUCUGUAGAAGAAUCAAAUCAGAGUUGUUCAGAUUAAGGCUGUCGGUUACCAGAUUGGGAGCAUUAAUUGUGGAAAGGCAUCAUUACUGCAGAGAAUUUCGGAGCAUUAAUGAUUUCAUACUCCGAAAUUGGGGGGCAUGUGUUGACACCGUUUUUGGGCACAUGUCCAUAUUGGUAAAGUAAGAUAAGACGGCAGUGCUUGAUCUACAGGAUGAGUUGCCGAUGAGGAUGGUUGCCGUUGGAGGGAUGGUUGAACGUGACCAAGUCUGUAGGUGAUGAUGUGUCUGCGCCGAUGGCUACGACAAGGGAGUCUGCCGAUGAUAUGGAGGGAGAGUCUGGAAGUUGCCGAUCGGUUUGUGGAGGUGUUCCAGUUUGUCAUGGGGGGAUAGUUUUAUGUUUUCCUUAGUUAUUUAAAUCGUUUUGUAUACGGAUUUUGUGUAAUUUGGAAUUUGAGUUUUAGUCGUGUCUGGUUGUACCUCUUUGGGCAGGGUAUAAAUAUGGACCCCAGGGCGUUGUAAUCUAUCUAUCAAUCAAUCAAACACACGUUUUUACUCAUAUUCCAAGCAUCUACUUUUUCGACGACUCCGUCAUACUUUUUCCUUUUUACUACGAGUUCUUAGGAAUUCGUCGACUUAAGCUCGGCGUGUUCUCAAGUUCCGCGUGAAUACCUCUUGGCCGUGACAUCCGAGCGCAUCGCUGUUGUUGGGACCAAAGUAUUCGAGUUACCACCUUUGCCGAUAGUAAGGUCAAAUCGGCUGGCACGCCUUAACGUUUAAAUCGGGUAUUAGCCCUUUGUGUUUGCAGAUCAGCUUUUGCAUCAACAGUCGGUAGUAUCCUGACGGCGAUUAGAAUGUCCUCCAUCUGCUAGUCUUCUUGAUUCUUAAAUUCCGUGGAGCUCAAGUAGACAACAAAGCUUUGUGGAACUGAUUAAGUGUUAGCACAAAUAUCUAGCCUUUAUCAUGUUGAGACUCCUUAGUAAAUAUUACUCCCUAUUUUUAUAUUUUCAUUUUUAUAGAGCAGAAAAAUAUUUAUUUUAUUUUUAUGCCACCACAGUGAAUGUACUUAUGGGUUUUAUGCCACUCGUAUACUCACAUGGGGCUUACUAUUUUUUAACAUUUUUAUUUUCUUUUUAGGAUAGUAUAAAUAUAACUAAUUAAGUAAACUAUUUAAAUAAUUGAAAGGGAAAGGAUAACUACCAAGUUUACCUCAAGGCGUUCGGUGUUUUUAAGUCCUCCGAACGGGACUCUCCGUUUUCUCAAUUGUCCUGGGAUUCGUUGGGUGGCGUAGUCGGUACUUCCGGCGGCGCCUCUUCUUCAUGUAUAGUUAUCUUCUCUUUCCAUACCUGACUCGGUGCUACGGUCUCCUCUAGAUAAUUUUGUUUAAACUGUACGUCUUCUGACCUUACCACUUCUCCUUCAUAGUUUGCCCAUCCGUCCUUGAUGAUCUGCCUCCUCUAGUUGCGGUUGCGUCGUUUUCUGACCUGCUUAGAGUCUUCAAAGAUGUAGUUAGGGUGAGUAAAAUAUCGGCGUACCUUCUCUGAGGGGAAGUGCAUGUGGACUUCUCCAGUUCCAAUGUAGAUGAUUGCUUUAACUGUGCUGAGGAACGGUCUUCCAAGGAUGAUGGGUGGAUCGUAUUCGUCUUCUCCCAUGUCAAUAACCUGAAAGUCUGUGUAGACAAAAUGAUCGUCUAUUUUGACAGGGACAUCAGUUACUGUUCCUUUAACUUCUCGAAACAUCUGAUCUACCAUCUGGAGCUAAAUGUAUGUUGGUCUUAGGGUCAUGGUUCUGAACAAGAGCUGAUAGGUGACUGCGGCCAUUAUGUUGACGCCCGAUCCGGUGUCGCAAGUCGUCUUGUACAAGUUGUAUCCAUUUAUGGAGCAAUAGAUGCUUGGCAUUCCUGGGUCAUCCUUCUUGGUCAAAAAAUGGUGACUUAAGUUGAU
rnacentral:lncRNA from 1 species